UCUAUACUAACUUUGGUGCAACCUACUAUAGGGGAUUCCCCAUCUACGCGGGAAUUAAUUAGCUGGCACGUGUUUUGUGUAGUUUCGGAUUUGCUGGUUUCCCAGUUAAAUCUGUAGUCUGCUGUUUAUCGUUGAUUUCCUAUAUUGCCGAAUAAUGUUUCUAAAAUAUUACGCAUUCCUAAAAACAUUUCGUAUUUCUACCAAAUAUACAGGCGGGUUCACACUACGGGCGGUAAAAGCGCUGGCGAUGGGAGAGAGCAAUUGUCGGGCGACAAAGGAUUCACACACAAAAGUAAAAUCGCCUGGUAUCCUGUUCAGUUUGGCGGGAAGUUGGAAAUUACAUUUAAUCGUUUUACCAUCUCGCUGCCCAAGUUCUUCCAAACCAAAUGUCCGGCUGCCAAAUCCUCAGCUGCGAUUCCUACAAGAUAUAAAGAAGUGAUAAUGUUAAUACGGGUUCACAAUAAUAAAGGAGUUGUCACCUUUGGUUGGCACAUGAUGAUGUCACCAGAUUCCUUCAAAGCACCUUCUCUACUAUCUACAUAAAGCUCACACUGGUUCAUG